rnacentral:rRNA from 1 species
AACGAACGCUGGCGGCAGGCUUAACACAUGCAAGUCGAGCGCCCCGCAAGGGGAGCGGCAGACGGGUGAGUAACGCGUGGGAAUCUACCGUGCCCUACGGAAUAGCUCCGGGAAACUGGAAUUAAUACCGUAUACGCCCUACGGGGGAAAGAUUUAUCGGGGUAUGAUGAGCCCGCGUUGGAUUAGCUAGUUGGUGGGGUAAAGGCCUACCAAGGCGACGAUCCAUAGCUGGUCUGAGAGGAUAAUCAGCCACAUUGGGACUGAGACACGGCCCAAACUCCUACGGGAGGCAGCAGUGGGGAAUAUUGGACAAUGGGCGCAAGCCUGAUCCAGCCAUGCCGCGUGAGUGAUGAAGGUCUUAGGAUUGUAAAGCUCUUUCACCGGUGAAGAUAAUGACGGUAACCGGAGAAGAAGCCCCGGCUAACUUCGUGCCAGCAGCCGCGGUAA